rnacentral:lncRNA from 1 species
CGCAUGCAUAACUUUAAAUCACUUCAAGAAACCACAACUGACCUCUUUUUUAGCCCAAUGUUCAUUACAGUUUGAUGCCACCAUUGUAUGGUAUAGUCCUCAAAUUCUAGGGAAGCUAACUUAACCUUUUGGUCCUCUUCGACCUCAUACACAUUAAAAAAAAAAUAUUCUGCCUUAGCUUCCUAUCCUAGAUAUACAUUUGGGUCACUAUCCCAAUUAAAACUAGGUAAUUUUACAAAAGGGAUAGGAUUCUUCGAUGGUUGGUGUUGGUGGCCCCUAGUUCCCACAUUUUGCACUCUCCAAUCUUCUUUUUCUUCUUCACUUCCAUAAUGCAUAUGGUACCUUGUAGCUCUUCUAAGCUCCCGCCUCCUUUCUCUAGCUUGUCUCUCUUGAGCAUUCUCUAGCCUUUGUAUUCUUUCCAUUAGUUGUCGCAUUUCCUCUUCCUUGUGGGCCAAACUCCUCUUGGUAUUCUCAAGCUCCCCUAAAAGACAUGCAUUUUGAGGAGCUAACAGUUUUGAAGAUUAUCCUGGAGACAAAUGAGCCAAUGAAAGCAAAUAAUUGGUGAAAAACAACAAUUAAUGCACUCACUCAUAUGUAUCACUCGACUAUUUAGUAAAGGAUUUAAAAGAUUUAAAUUCACUCAAGGAAGAUUUUAAAUUCCAAAGGGUCUACACUUGGUAGCAACACUUCAAGUGAAAGAAGUCAAAGCUCUUAUCACUUGCUCACACAAAGAAUCCCCAACAAAACUUAAGAGAACAAAAAAGUGGAAGACAAGCCAGAAAAGUUGAAAGAAAGAAAGCUAAACAAAAAAGGAAUUAAAUCAUGACAAAACUUUUGCAAGAUAAAUAAGAAAAACACUUUUGAAGACUGAAAGAAACUUACUAAACUUUUAAAUAUGAAGUUUUAAUUUUCUUAGAAAUUUUGAAAGCAAGAAGGAUAAAAUUCCAAAAGAAAUUUUGAAAGCAAGAAGGAUAAAAUUCCAAAAAUAUGAAAACAAUUUGCCACAUAAAAAGAAUCCUCUUUUGUAAUUGAACUUUGAAAUGUGAAUGUAGUCAAAUUGUUUAUUUUGUCUUUGUUUUUAUGGAGUCAAUAGCUCCACAUUCUUGUCAUGCAUAUUUUUACUUCACUUUUCAAUUUCACUAAGGGAUUGUGAUUCAAAUCAUGUGAUCACUUGAAUUCUUUGUUUGGAACUAAAUUAACUACCACUUAAACAAAUUCUAAUUGUUUCUUUUUUUCUUCACAAUUUAAAGUAAAGUAAGCAUAAUGGAUUUAAACACUCCUAGAACACUAAGAACAUAAGACUCAAGCAAAAAUGGUAAGGAAAGAAAACGAAUGACACAAAUAAUUCAAAAGCAUAAUUUAAAUUGCUCAAUGAAUAAAAAAGCAGAAUCAUAAAUGACAAGGAAAUUAAAAACUGAAUUGAAAGGUGUUGAAUCGUAAAGUGGAAUUUAAAUUGCUGGAAAAUAAAAUCAUUAUUGAAAUGUGCUAGAAUUUUAAAGCAGAAAUCAACUCAAAGCAAUUAAGCACAAAAUAACCAUGCUCUGAAUACUACAUGAUGUGAGUUGAUUUUAGGAUUACACAUUUUAUGGUGACACUUGGUUUAUGAGUUUUUGUUUUAAGAAAAAUAUGGUUAGAAACCCAAAGAAGAUUCCCACUAGACACGAACUUAACCAAGUGGUUAAGUAAGUGUGAAUGUUCACUUAUAGAGGGAAAAGAGAAAAACACAAUAUAAGGUUGUCAAAAUUAAAGGCCUUCAACAAGAGGGGGGGUCAAUUGUUUAAUGAAAGAUUAUCGAAAAUUUUGGACAAGAAUGAAGAUUAAUGCAAAAUCACAGUACCAGCCAAAAACAAUUGUUUUAAAUUGAUUCCAAAAAAUCAAUCGGUUGUUUAUGAGAAUCAACUGAUUAUUUUUAUCGGCACUUUGCAAAAACACGGAUCAAACAGUAGAACAAAAGCUCAUACGAUAAUAGAAGAACAAAAAAAAACCUAACACACAUUUGGGAAUUCAUACGACAUGAGUAAUCAACAUCAAGCAUGUAUAUGAAUAGGUAAAAGCAGAGAAUGAUCCCGGGCAGAGCAUACAAUUUUAAAGAUGAAUAAUCGGGGUUGAAAAAAGGAAUAUCUUUUGUGGCUGGAAAAAGAGAAGCUUUAAGGAAUGUGCGAAGAGCUUUGAGUUGUAAGUCAAGAAGAGAGUAAGUUUUUGAAGGUUUAGAGUAUUGAACAUUUUUGGACGAAGUUUAAGUGGAAAAGGGGAAUUCGAAACGAUGGAGUUUCUGCUACCACACACGUGUACACGUGGGGUCGCAUGCAGUAAAAUGUCACUUCAAAGACGCUUUGUGCGCCGUGCCUCACCUACCCCUGAGAAACGGUCACGUCAAUUGCCAAAGGUACUUAGGAGACUCUUUGCUUAGCCAAGCUCAACUCGGUUGUUGGGCCUGGGUAAGACUUGCGCAAAUGGCCCUCUUCCAGGAAUGGGCCUAAAGCGCACAAUAAGAUCGUUCCGCGAAAUAAGUUUUUUAUGUACACGUGCUUAUAGAUAUAUAUGGGGCUGCCAUUUGAGAGGGCCCCAUUAUAUAUGCUUAUAGAUAAGUAUGCGUAAGUAGGUACGAUAUGUGCGUGUUUGUUACUCGUUAAGUGUGCAUGUUUGUUAUUUGUUGCAUGUUAAUUACGUAUUAAUGCAUGUUGAUAGUUGUUGUUAACCCUAAAAGAUAGGGACGUGCAGUUAAAACAAAAUGUUGGCCUACGGUUUAGCACCUGAAGAUCAUUGGUGCCCGUGACAGGUGGUUUUUCUUUUAGAGAUAAAAGAUUAAUGUGCUUAGUAUAUUUUCAAUUAAAAUUUUAUUCUCUGAAGCGAGAAUUGUUGCAUGUGCGGUUAUAAAAGGGGCCUAAGACUCCAGAUGAAGGGACGUUGUUUUUGCACACUAGACUGAAAACUGUUUACUUUUUGUGAUCCCUUACUGACUUGAGCGUCGGAGUGCAAUCAACAGGUAGGGUGCCCUCUGUCACAACGGAGUCACGAUUCAGUGCAACAGGGAGAGACGAGUCAAUACCCAGCUGAGGCAGAUCCAAAGAAGAGGCGUUCAACCCAGUCAAUCGGCAGGAGAGUCAAUUGGCGAGAACAAAAGUCUAGAGUGUUUAUUUAUAAAAUGGAAAACUAAAUUUUGAAAGCCAAUUAAAAAUUUAAAGAAAUUAUUUACCACAGGAAUACAACUUUAGUAUUAAUCAGGCUAAAAUUAAAAUUUGGGGAUGAAUUUAGAUUAAAUUAAAAGUUAAAUCAUUUAUUUGUAAAAAAGGUAGUGUUUAAAUACUAAUUAAGAUAAAGCAUAAGAAUGCUCAAACAAUACAUGUAUAGACUUAAACUAACAUGACACUAAACAAAAACAUAUACAUGCGUAUUCUAUGCUGUAAGGAAUGUUUGUUACUUUCAUUUGUUAAAAAAAUUCGUUCAAAUUAAAGUACAACAACAUCAAGACCUCUUGGAGUCUGAGUUAAAGUCAUUUUUCUUUUACAAUUCCUUGACAAUGAGCAUUGAUAACUCUAGAAAGAAUAUCUACUUCAAACAACCAUGUACUUUUGACAAAGUCAAGAAAAGACACAUUGUGCAAGAAGAUGUUAGUACAUCCAACUAUGUGAAUUACGUAAAAGAAGAAAAUGACAUUUAGUGUUUCCUGGAAUGCAUUCAAUGCAUCUUACUUUAUCAGAGGUAGAAGGACAUUAAAGUAGCUUAAGCUACUUAAUAUCUAGACGAAUUUACAAUAACUACUUUCUUUAGAGCCUAUAUAAAGCAAUCCAAGAAGAAAAAGAAGAAGAUCAUGAGAGACUAGUUGUAUAGUUCUAAAAUGUUGCUCAAUUGUUUUGUACCCCAUCAAAAGCUUCUUAGAGAACACUAUUUUUAUUCUAUUAGCUAACUAGAAGAGAGUGAACAAAUUUAUACCUCUUUAGACGAUUAUCCUUUCUGAUGAGAAACUGAGUGAUCGGUUAAUCAUCAUAUAUACUAUCUUUAUAUCUUAGCCAGUAGUGGUUGUUUGAUAAAUAAUACUCGGUUAAACCAAGAGUGGCUAGUGAAAAGAAUACUUGGUUAAGUUAGGAAUGGCUUGUGGAAAGAAUAUUCGGUUAAGCCAUGUGUGGCUUGGGAAAUAGUACUUAGUUAAGUUAGAAGUGUAGUGGGAAAAGAAUACUCAAAAGGUCAGUGAGAAGUAGCUAUGAGCCAGAAUAAUACUAAAGAGGUUAGUCAAGAGUGACUACGAGACAAAAGAAUACUCGUAUUGUACUUUGUAGCAAUAUUCUCUUCUUUAGUGGAAUUGAAUUUGUUGAUUGAAAAUUGAAUGUAGUGUAUGUGUUCACAUGAACCAAUAUUAAAACAAAUUGUGCAUUUAUUCUCUCCCCUCUUAUCAUUUUUAUAUUGCGUUUUAAUUAUUAUAUAUACUAAUUAGAAAGAAAAUACAUUAUGCAUUUAAGUGUUUAAAAGAGGAAAAACUAAUGGCUUAAAGAAAGAGAAAACUCGGCAAAUAAAGACGUCUAAUUGACAAAGAGGUUCGUAAGCUCUUGAAGGCCAACUUGUCAGAGAGAUAGCCUACACCAUGUGGUUGUCAAAUGUGAUUAUGGUGAAGAAAGCCAACGGUAACUGGAGGAUGUGUAUCGAUUAUACCGAUCUAAACAAAAUAUGUUCUAAUAUCCUCUCCCAAAUAUUGACCGACUUGUUGACAAUACUUCGAGGUUCAAGCUCUUCAAUUUCCUCAAUGCAUAUUCGAGGUAAUCAUAUCAUAAUGUAUCAUCCUAACAAAGAUAAAACUACAUUUAUGGCUGAAGAAGAUAAUUAUUUUUACAAAGUCAUGUCAUUUGGCCUCAAGAAUGUUGAAGCUAGUUACUAACGUCUAAUGGAUAAGGUAUUUGAAAACCUCAUUAGAUUUAAUAUGGAAGUUUAUGUUUAUGACAUGGUGAUCAAGUCAACCUCGACUGAUAAUCAUCCGACUAAUCCGGAAAAGGUGUUCAAUCGAAUACAAACACAUAGCAUGCACCUCAACCUUGAAAAAAGCUUAUUGAAUGUUGGGGGCAGAAAGUUCCUUGGUUUCAUGAUUACUUAGCAAGGAAAAGAGGUCAACCUAGAUAAAUACGAGGCCAUUUUGAAUUCGAGGAGUCCAAGUAGCCUUAAAGAACUCCAACAUGGGAAGCUCAUUGCACUUUCUCAAUUUUUGCCUAAGCUUGCCGACAAGUCUAAGCCAUUCUUUCAGUUGUUAAAAUCAAGCGAGACACUGCUUCUUUACCAACCUUGGUAAUUCCUCUCUCAUUUUUUAUUUGGAAGUGUCAUACUUGGCAAUAUGCUCAGUGUUAGUUUAUAAAGAUGGCAAAAAACAAAGUUUUGUUUACUUUAUUAACCAAACUCUGCAACUGACUGAAGAAAGGUAUCAGGUCAUUAAGAAGCUCGUCCUCACCCUAGUCUUUUCAGCCUAGAGAUUAAGGCACUAUUUCUGGAGCUUCAACAUUAUUAUUCGCAUUGACUACCCCCAUCAAGCAAGUACUACAACCCAAUAGUUCAUACUGCUUAGAAGUAAGGUCAAAGGCAAUUUAAAUACACAUUUUUUCAUAACCCUUCGAGGCACCCUUUAAGGAAAAAAAAUGUGAUAAAACUUUAAGCUCCAAAGCAGACAAUACUUCCUCAGAUGCAAUGAUUGACCCUACUUAUGUCAUCUCAACGAACUUGAGGUCAGAACAUUGGUGUCAUCUGUGGGGAUCGAAAAGAGGUUUCAAACACAAAUCUUCGUUCUCCUUAGACCUCAACUAAGAGGUUUAUUUUGGUAUUCCCAAUAGUCUCACAUCACUUAAGAGUUAAGACCAAAGACAAUUUAAAUACAUAUUCCUCCCUUAAUCCUCUAACAAAACCGUGACGGAACUCCAAGCUCCAAAACAAACAAUAUCUAAGAUUCGGUAAUUGACCCAGUGAUGCCAUCUCAACAUACUUGAGAUCAAAACAUUAUGCAUUUAUUUUUAAUGGACUAUGUAUUUGUUAAUGUAAUGAAAUUUGAUAAAUAUAAUUAGGUCAGUUAAAUUUAAUUAGAUUUCAUAAAUACUAAUGUAGUAUGCAUCAAAAUUAAAAUAAAUAAAAUGUUAUCUAUCAAUUCAAAUUUAAGUGCAUACUUAUUAAAUCAGAAAAAAAUACUAUCAAAUUUAAUUGUGUAAGGAUUAAUGGGAAGUUGUGCAUUUAGUAUAGUUAUAUUUAUAUAAAUUGAAUAAACACUAGUGCUGAAAAUGCAUAUAACACUGAUUAUAAGAAACAUAUAAAACCGUUUCUAUCAUCGAUGUAGAUCUCAACGAUGUAAAAUGUCAAUUAUAUAUAACAUCGGUUGUAAAAACCGAUGUAAUAUGUCCCAAAAUUUAAAUAAAAUAUUCAAAAAUAUGUACUCCAAAGUUAAAUACUAAACACUAAAUCUUAAACCCAAUACCAAAGCGUUUAACAUUGUCGAGGUUAGAUCACCCCUAGACCCAAUUUAAAACAUAAUACAUUAUAUUCCAAAUACAAUAUAAUAAAACUAAUUAUCUAUAUAAAUAAUUAUAAACUAAAUAAUAUUUAAAAUUAAAAUUAAAAUGAUUAAAAAAAAAUUAACUUGGAACGUGAACAUGAAUGAAACUGUGGCAUCAAUGGAGGUAAUGUGGCGACGACAGAGGCGAAAACAAAGGCGACAAGAACGAUGACAAGAGUGACAACGAAAUAGCAGAGAAGUGUGAACAGAAGAAUCUCGUUCGGUGUGGAUGCUCUCACGACGAAGAGAACGAAAUAAGAGAGAAGCAACGGGGGAGCGAUGGAGGCAAUGACUGGCAGCGACGGUGGCAACAACGUUGACAGAAACAAAAUGAACUCUUGAGCAAGAAACUUAGAAUAGCAUGAAUAAUGAGUGAGGGCGCAAGACAAGAAAAUAGGAUAAAAACAUAUAUUACACUAGUUAUGAGUAAUAAUCAGUGUAAUAUAUCUUUUUAUUAACUUAAUUUUUGUUUACUCUAAAAGGACAUAUAAACUGGUUGUGUAGUCCAACUGGUGUUAUAUGUAACUUUUAAAACUUAAAAAAAAAAAUAUGAAAAUUACAUAUAACAACGAUUCCUCUAUCUAACCGGUGUUAUAUGUAGUGUCCAUAAUUAAAUUUUUGAAUUUUUUUUUAAACUCUAGGAAUGACAUAUAACAUCGAUUGUAUAGAAGAAUCGGUGUUACGUGUCAUUUUUAAAAACUUCUAAAUUUUUUUUAAUCUGAGAAUGACAUAUAACAUCGGUUUCUCUAUCCAACUGGUGUUAUAUGUAAUCUCAUAGAUAAAAUUUUUAAAAAAAAACUUUUGCUUUUAGUAAGACAUAUUACACCAGUUGGAUAGCAUAACCGAUGUACUAUGUGUCAAAUAUUUACAAAAAUGUCACUGUGAUUUUGUUUACACCGGUUCUCAUUUAACCGACCUAAUAUAUCAUUAUAAAAUGUGUUAUUUUCACUAAUGAGAUAUAUUUUAAAAAAUAUUUAUAAAACAUUCUUUAAUAGCAUUAAGUGUUACAUUAAUAUCUAAGUAAUAAACAUAUGUGAAAAAUUAGAUUGUUGGUGAAAUAUAAUUAAAUUCACCAAAUGCAAUAAAUAUUAUAAAGUUUAUGUUUUGCUUAAUUGUCUAUCUUCAAUCAAGUUUUAAUGAUAAAAAGAAAAACAUAACACACCGUUCUCUAUAUUACUCUUUCUUCUUCUCCAUUUAUCUCUCUUUUAGAAUUUUUGUACAGUACAUUAUACAGAUUAUGAACAAAAUUUUCGCCUUGUAGUUUUAUCAUCAGGUUCAUUUCGAGCAAAAAAUGGUUCAAUUUUAAUUCUCGAAGAUAUGAACCCAAUUUAGUUUUUGAAUCACUUAUAAUUUAAUUAAAAUGGAAUAUUGUAAAUAUGCUAUCACUCCGUCAGGAUAACAAAUAUGAAUAAUUUUUUUUUCAAAUGUAAAUAUACAGAAAGAGAACAAGAAAUUGAUCGAGUUAAAUCCUUUAGAUUAUUUAAAAUUACAUUACUGCUAUUUUAUAUAGUGAUUAUUUUAAAGUAAAAUUUGAAGUUUGUAAAAAUCCACAUAACCUAAAAAAACAAUAUGCGAAUGAAUUUCUCCUCCAUCCCUCAAAAGAGGACAACAAUAGUAAUAAUAAAAUCUUUGUUAUGGGAAAACAGGGUCAACGGUCAACCCCACACAUUUGCCACCAUUUUUCUGUCCAUUGGUUUUCUUCUCUCUCUCUCCCCUUCACACACAAACUGGACGACCUUUUCAACCCUCUUCUUCCCCUGAUAUUUUUUUAGAAAACCAGCAUAAGGAAAAAAUAAGCCUAUCAAAAUCCAAAAUGAAGUAAUUAAGGAAAAGAAAAAUUAAAAAAACAAAAACACAAAGCGGAUAAUUCUCCAAUGUUGUCUUUGCAUCUUUUAUCGUUCUGAAACAAUUUUCAUUGUCUGUUUUCUCUGACGAAAACCAAUCAACAAUCAUCGUCACAAUCACAAUGGAACAGAACCUCAACGAUAAUUCUAGCAGUCUCCCUCCUAAAGAGGAGAACAUCAACACAGACCACACUACUCACUCGCCGGUCGUGGAAUCUGAAGACAAACCCGACGGCGAAACUGAAAAAGCCACAGAUUCAGAACAAGUUCUGGAAAAGGAAGAAUCCAAAGCGGAGGAGGAAAAUGAAAAGAAAGAAGAAGAAAAAGAACAAGAACAAGAACAGGAAAAAGUAGAAGAAGAAACCGUGGAGACUCAACCGGAAUCUCCGGCUCCGAGUCUCGAGAAGGUUACAGAAGAGAUUGACCAAUUUAUCUUGAGAUUACAAAAACAUGUCGAUGCCAAAGAAUCUACCUCAUUGGAAAUCCCUAAUUUCAUCCACGCUUUCUUGCAUCUGGUGGAACACAAGAUAGAGAAAUACGACACAGGUGAAACGAAAUGGGGACAAACAAUUGAAGACGAUUCGUCGCUUUUGGAAUGCGCGAAUCGCAUUUCGAGGCUGAUGAACCAUUUCAUAGAGUACUCGCGGUCUCACACACAGGAACAACAAGAGGACGAGGAGAAGGAGAAGGAGAAGGAGAUGGGCGGAUUAGACUUCGUUAUCAACGGCAUCAGCGUGAUUCAGCAGCGCGUGAUAUCGUUUUUGGAGGACGAGUUCCGUACACUGAUGGAAGAAUUUAGAAACCCAAACAAACCAGAUUCAAAGGGGAAACAACAGGUGGCAGACUCCUCAGAGUCAGAGACACCAGAAGAAACCAUUCCCGAAUUCCCAGGUUUCGCGGAGGAAACCAUUGCGAAUCUGAACAAAAUCGCCAAGCAAAUGAUAGCCAGCGGUUACGAAAACGAGUGUUGCCAAGUGUACGCAGUUUCGCGGAGGCACGCGUUCGAGGAUGGCAUGUACAAACUUCUAGGGUACGAGAAGUUCAGCAUAGACGAGGUUCAGAGAAUGCAGUGGGAGGCACUGGAGCGCGAAAUCCCCACAUGGAUCAACACCUGGAAGGAGUGCACCUCCGUAUGGUUCCCCGCCGAGAGAAAGCUAGUGGAAAUGGUGUUCGGCGACGAAGCCGAGACGGUGCUGAGCCUCAUGGGCAACAUCUCCCGCACAAUUGUGAUUCAGCUGCUUAAUUUCGGGGAGAGCAUAGCCAUGACAAAGCGCGCAGGGGAAAAACUGUUCAAACUCUUGGACAUGUACGAGACUCUACGAGACGCGAUUCCAAUAAUGGAGAACUUGUUCCCGGACGACAUAAUGGGGGAAAUCAAGGCAGAAACGACAUCCGCAAAAUGCCGCCUCGGCGAGGCGGCGGUGUUGAUAUUCUGCGACCUGGAGAACUCGAUUAAAUCGGAGACCGGAAGAACUCCGGUGGCGGGGGGCGCGGUGCAUCCCCUGACACGUUACAUCAUGAACUACCUAAGGCUAGCGUGCGAGUAUAAAGACACAUUGGAGGAAGUGUUCAAAGAGCAUUCGAAAAUCGAGCGCGCGGAUUCAACCAGCAGGCCUCGCCACGAAAGCGAGGAGAGCAAAGCGAAGAGCGAGAGCAAACAGAAAGAGGACGUGUCGCCGUUUGCCGCACAGUUAAUGCGGGUGAUGGAGCUUCUGGACUCGAAUCUGGAGGGGAAGGCGAAGUUGUACAAGGAGGUUGCGUUAAGCUGCAUUUUCAUGAUGAACAAUGGAAGGUACAUAGUGCAGAAGAUAAAAGGUUCAGCAGAGAUAUACCAGGUGAUGGGAGAAACGUGGUGUCGUAAGAGAUCGACGGAGCUGAGGACUUACCACAAGAACUACCAGGUGGAGACGUGGAGCAAGAUUCUGAGUUGCCUGAGCCCGAAAGGAUUGAGCGAUCACGGGAAGGUGCAGAAGCCGGUGCUGAAGGAGAGGUUCAAGGGGUUCAACGCAGCGUUUGAGGAGAUCCACAAGACGCAGAGCAUGUGGGUAGUUAGCGAUGAACAGCUUCAAUCGGAACUUAGGGUUUCCAUCUCUGCCCUCGUGAUUCCUGCCUACAGAUCCUUCUUGGGGAGGUUCUCACAGAUUUUGGAUC